rnacentral:rRNA from 1 species
AGAUUGAACGCUGGCGGCAGGCCUAACACAUGCAAGUCGAGCGGCAGCACGGGUACUUGUACCUGGUGGCGAGCGGCGGACGGGUGAGUAAUGCCUAGGAAUCUGCCUGGUAGUGGGGGAUAACGCUCGGAAACGGACGCUAAUACCGCAUACGUCCUACGGGAGAAAGCAGGGGACCUUCGGGCCUUGCGCUAUCAGAUGAGCCUAGGUCGGAUUAGCUAGUUGGUGAGGUAAUGGCUCACCAAGGCGACGAUCCGUAACUGGUCUGAGAGGAUGAUCAGUCACACUGGAACUGAGACACGGUCCAGACUCCUACGGGAGGCAGCAGUGGGAAUAUUGGACAAUGGGCGAAAGCCUGAUCCAGCCAUGCCGCGUGUGUGAAGAGGUCUUCGGAUUGUAAAGCACUUUAAGUUGGAGGUAAGGCUAGUUUACCUAAGUACGUAAGUGUUUGACGUUACGACAGAAUAAGCACCGGCUAACUCUAGUGCCUAGCACG